GAGAGAUAGAUCGAUAAUAGAGAGUGCCAUUCUUUGACGCGAUCGUUUCUUACGCAACUAAACAACAGUACGUGGUCGUCGUUGUAGUCGUUGUAGUCGUUGUAGUCGUUAUAGUCAGUGCCGUCAGGGUAUGAUUUCAAGAGAUGACAUCAUCGAAAAAGAUGCAAGUGGAUGAAAGAGAAGGAGGAAAAGAAGGAAGAGGUGGAAAAGGAGGAGGAGAAGAAGAAGGAGGAGGAGGAGGUGAAGGAGAAGGAGGAGAAGGAGACAUUCGCGAAUUCGUGUGCCGCCAAAAAUAAAACACCGGUUGUGAUAGUAGCGGAUAAUGAGCAUAUGAGGUUGGGCCCGAGCGAGGUUUCAGGGCCGGUCGUUCCACCUCGCUUGCUACGCGAACACCGAUAACUGCAGCGAGGGGAGUAAAGAGAAAAGAGUUGAUGGGACACGACGACUCAAACCUCUCACGUCGUACACUGUCCAAAUACAGUCGAUCCGAUCGGUUAACCGUCCCGCUUACGACACUACGAAAUGGCUGGACGUUAAUCGAUUGUAGCAAUUUGGGAACAAUUUGUGAUCCUUUCGUUAAAUAAAUCGAGAACGCAUCGUUUUUCGUUAUUUAUAGCCAUUUAUAUCAUUUCUUUUGUACAUUUAAUAUGUAAUAAUUUAACGUAAACGAUAUGUCUUUAUUAUUUGAUUACUAUUAUUAUUAUAAAUUCUUAAAUAAUGUUUAAGAAUUGUUCAAUAUCAAGGAAUCGUGACGAUUCGAGAGAAAACGUGGAUCAUCGUAAUAAACGAAAUGUAAAAUUUCGAAAUAAAAUUAUUCGAUUGUGACGGGCUCGAAAUGUUCCUUUCGAGUGAAUAAAAUAAUAUCGAUAAAGGGAGAAUGAGCCUUGUGACUACGAUAAUUGUCAAAAAUAUAUACACGUUUCGUUACACGGACAACAAGGUCGUACAGUGAUUUCGCGAAGGCGACGAAGAAGCGACUCCAAGAAAUUGCAAAUGGACGAAAUUCUUGGGAAAAGUCAAGAAACCGAGACGUCCUUGACAUUCGAGAGUUUCAGCCUUUUAUAUAUAUACGUCGGUAUGCCGGAUGAUAAUGCUGCGAGAUCUGGUCUUUCCAGAAACUCACCAUGACCACCCAUUAUGCCGUGCGUCAAGUAAAGGGGUGCCCGUCCACAGAAUGCAUCCUUGGCAAGGACUUGCCGUAUCAGACGAGGAUCCGACAAAAGUACAGUGUAUACAGAACCCAAUUUCAAUCCACAGAUCGGACCAUAUUUGUAUAUCAAUUCGGUAAAUGUCUCAUGCGGUGCUUCCGGAUCGAUCCAUGGUAAAUAACCAACAAUUGGUAGGCACCAAGGGCCAGGUGGUAAACGAUAUCUCUUGCGAAUCAUGUAAUAAAGGAUUAUUAGCAAUAUGAAAAUUAAUAUGAUCGUAAACAUCUUAAAUGUUCCAAGAUAUCCCGAUUGAAAUCCUCUAUCGCUCUUUAUAACGAUGAUUAUCUGUAAAAUGUGAAAAAAUUGUUUUUGUUUCAUAAUCGAUAAGUGUCAUUGCACUUACGCUGUUAUGCGAAGUGCGAUGAAGAAGAAGGAGAAGGAGAAGGAGAGGAGGAGGAGGAUAAAGGAUGAUGGAUGAAGAUGAGGAUGAAGAAGAGGAGGAAUGUACAAACAAAUUACGAGAAUCAAAAAGGAUGGAAAAAAAUGGAAAGAGGGAAAGUAAGAAAAAAGAAAAAAAUGAUGAAAAGCAAAGUGGAAUCUGCCUCUACGUGCAAUAUAUAGUUCAUGGAAUAAGAUACCAAUCGUCACGUGAUCCUUCUCCUAUGGAAUUCAUUCGUAGGAGCAGUUCGUAAGAAUAAGAUAUAUCAUGUGGUUCAAAUUCAAAGUUUCAUUGACAUUUUUGACGAUAUUAAUCUUAAAACUAAAACUCACCUGAUGGAUGACGCCUUGACGAUCGCCGACAUUAAACUUUACGUAACAGUGGACGACUUCAGCGCCGAAGAAGAACUUUCAAUGAAACAAAUUCGACGCGCGGGAAUUUUGAAAAGAUAUAUAUAUAUAUAUAUAUAUUGCCGUCUCCCUUCUUUCUUAUACCGUUACGAAUAAAUAAAGUUUUGAGUGAACAAAUUCUUAUGAAAGACGAACUAUGAUGGUUGAUUUUUUUCUUCCUCGCCGAAAGAAAAAGAAAAGUAAAAAAAAAAAAAAACAGAAAGAACCUUCGAACUGACUUCACGUGAUACAUAUACGUCGAAUACUUUCACAAACGUUUUUCUUCUUCUUUUUAUUUUUUAUUAUUUUUUAAUUGUUUUUUAAUCCGAUUCUUUUUGUCCUCUCGCGUAAGAAAAAGACGAUCCAACUACGACGACGACAUCGAACAAAAUGCGUUUAACGAAUCGUCGUUCGAGAUAAUAUUAGAACAAUUUGACUGUUAAAUCAAUGAUAAGACGUAUCCCAUGAAUAUAAGAUAUCCUUUGAAUAGAUCUGAUCUGGAAUGCAUUGACGAUUCUACGUAAAAAAAAAUUUUAUAUUCGUUCGUGAAGGAAAAAAAAAAAAUUUAUGUAUUCUUAGAUUGUCUUAGCAAAAGGAAAAAAAAAAAAAAACAAAAAAAAAAAGGGAAAA